UCGGGCACGUAGCUGGUGCCGCUGCUGAUC
rnacentral:piRNA from 1 species